UCGAGUCGACUCCAAGACAAGCUUCACGUCAAAAGGCAGAAGACCAACUUUCGGAAACUGAGAGCCGAGUCGACUCCAAGGAAGUUCGAGUCGACUCCAAGACUGGAUGAGCCAAAAGACAGAGGAUCGGGAGUUCGGGCUCUGAGAUUCGAGUUGACUCCCAGGAUAGUCGAGUCGACUCGAGUGGACAAAAUUCAAAUUUGGAUCCACGGACUUCAGUGGAUGAGCCGACUCCGAAAUUGCCAAGUCAGCUCCAG
rnacentral:lncRNA from 1 species